rnacentral:rRNA from 1 species
UACGGAGGGUGCGAGCGUUAUCCGGAAUUACUGGGCUUAAAGGGUGCGUAGGCGGCUAUGUAAGUCAGGAGUGAAAGUUUGCGGCUCAACCGUAAAAUUGCUUUUGAUACUGCAUGGCUGGAAUCAGGAUGAGGUCAGCGGAAUGUGGCAUGUAGCGGUGAAAUGCAUAGAUAUGCCAUAGAACACCAAUUGCGAAGGCAGCUGGCUAGACCUGUAUUGACGCUGAGGCACGAAAGCGUGGGGAGCGAACAGG